rnacentral:rRNA from 1 species
UUAUUUGAGAGUUUGAUCCUGGCUCAGGAUGAACGCUGGCGGCGUGCCUAACACAUGCAAGUUGAGCGAUUUACUUCGGUAAAGAGCGGCGGACGGGUGAGUAACGCGUGGGUAACCUACCCUGUACACACGGAUAACAUACUGAAAGGUAUGCUAAUACGGGAUAAUAUAUUUGAGAGGCAUCUCUUGAAUAUCAAAGGUGAGCCAGUACAGGAUGGACCCGCGUCUGAUUAGCUAGUUGGUAAGGUAACGGCUUACCAAGGCG